UUACGACCACGUCACGUUGAAACCCCCGGUUCCCGUAUGGUUCUCCGAAGUUAAGCAACGUUGAGCCUGGUCAGUACUUAGAUGGGUGACCGCUUGGGAAUGCUAACUGCUGUAAG